rnacentral:rRNA from 1 species
UACGUAGGUGGCAAGCGUUGUCCGGAUUUACUGGGUGUAAAGGGCGUGCAGCCGGGAGUGCAAGUCAGAUGUGAAAUCCCGCGGCUCAACCGCGGAACUGCAUUUGAAACUGUGCUUCUUGAGUGCUGGAGAGGCAGACGGAAUUCCUAGUGUAGCGGUGAAAUGCAUAGAUAUUAGGAGGAACACCAGUGGCGAAGGCGGUCUGCUGGACAGUAACUGACGGUGAGGCGCGAAAGCGUGGGGAGCAAACAGG